rnacentral:rRNA from 1 species
CUAAUUGCGAUAAGUAAUGUGAAUUGCAGAAUUCAGUGAAUCAUCGAAUCUUUGGACGCACCUUGCA